GUAAUGUGGUCUGUGCACGGAGCGACGCUGUCUUUUCUCCUGGUCUCCGUCGCCCUCGUCGCUGCUGACGACAGGUUCACAUGCUGCAUGGGCGGCUGGAAAGUGAUGAGGGGCGUGACCCUAUGCCCUGCCCCCUGCUGCCAGGGGUACGAAGAGCGAACGCUGAAGAUGCCCCUGCUGAGGUCGCCGACGGUGUGCCACAAGCUGACGGAGGAGGAGCUGCGGAGGAGGGAGGAGGAGAGGGUCACGACGGAGGCACCCGAGACGGAGGUCAUGGAGGAUGAGCCGAGACGCAUCAUCCGAGCCUCGUCCGAAUACGAGGACUUCCUCUACCGCCACCGCCUCUUCUUCCUCAACCUCAUGAACGAAGGCUACUCGCGCAAGGAACUCAUCUCCAACCUCGAGCAGUUCCUGGUGAGGCUGUGCCUGGAGAGCGCCGUGUGUGAGGACUUGUGAUCUCCCCGCCCACCCUUAACACACCCUCACACCCUCCUGUGACACACUCCCUUGUUUUGUUUAGCGGUGUGCGAGAACCAGAUUUCGUCGUCUCUGUACCGUCACCAAUGGUACCGUGGCUAAAUGCACCUCCACUGCCCGCCCACGAAAGCUGUGGAUCCCAAUACUUAACGUCUGGCAUACCUACGUUAACCCAUGUGAUGCCUUCGUCUUCAUUUCUCAUCCUGCUUAUUUCAUUUUUAUUUUUUUUCGUGGAUUCGUUUCUUGUCAAGCGCACCCUUUGGCCUCGACUGGUCUUUAUUGUAACUUCAAAGUAGAUGGAGUAAAAAGUGAUAACCUUUUCAAUAGUUUCUUAUCUGCACUCAUUAUUUCACAUUUUCUUUACUUCGUUUUCUUGAACCUCCUCAUUUUCUGGCCGUGGAUAUAUUUGUUUCUUCUUGUUCUUCUUUUCUUUGCGAAUUUAUUUACUCACUUGAUUUUUCUCUUUGCUUUUAUUUUCCUUAUUCUUUUCUUUUCAUUUUUAUUUGUUGGUUUUAUGUUUCUCUUCGCUUACCGUGCCGUUAGCCGGACUCUAACCCUGAUCCCGCUGAACGCUCACUACCAUUUAAUCAAAGGAGCACAAAGUUUGACCAAGAUGGAAUAUACAUACAUGCAUGCAUAUAUGUAUAUAUAUGUAUAUGUAUAGAUAUGUGUGUGUAUAUGUAUAUAUAUAUAUAUAUAUAUAUAUAUAUAUAUAUAUAUAUAUAUAUAGGUGUGGGAGAAAGGAAGCAUGUUAUGGGAAAAAUAAAAUAGGUUGUUGCGGAAAUGAAAAAGUUUGUGGUAGGAACAAAACAGGUUUUGGGUGAAAUGAAAAGGAUUAUGAAAGGGAAAGAAUAGUUGUGAUAAAUUAAAUUGGUUGUAUGUCAUGUAAGAUAGAUGGUAAGAAAAAUAAUCCAAGUAGACAUAUUCAUAGAGAAAGAAUGAAAUAGAUCCAUUACCUUCAGAUCCAAGUAAAACUAAUACUAAGAAGUGCUAUUCGUCAAUAUAGGUUUCAGUUGUGUAGUCUUGACCCAUAACUGUACAGCAUUCAAUAAACUAAAUAUUAU